AGAGUUUGAUCCUGGCUCAGGAUGAACGCUGGCGGCGUGCUUAACACAUGCAAGUCGAACGAAGCACUUUGGACAGAUUCUUCGGAUGAAGUUUUUAGUGACUGAGUGGCGGACGGGUGAGUAACGCGUGGGUAACCUGCCUCAUACAGGGGGAUAACAGUUAGAAAUGGCUGCUAAUACCGCAUAAGCGCACAGUACCGCAUGGUACAGUGUGAAAAACUCCGGUGGUAUGAGAUGGACCCGCGUUGGAUUAGCUAGUUGGCAGGGUAACGGCCUACCAAGGCGACGAUCCAUAGCCGGCCUGAGAGGGUGGACGGCCACAUUGGGACUGAGACCCGGCCCAGACUCCUACGGGAGGCAGCAGUGGGGAAUAUUGCACAAUGGGGGAAACCCUGAUGCAGCGACGCCGCGUGAGCGAAGAAGUAUUUCGGUAUGUAAAGCUCUAUCAGCAGGGAAGAAAAUGACGGUACCUGACUAAGAAGCCCCGGCUAACUACGUGCCAGCAGCCGCGGUAAUACGUAGGGGGCAAGCGUUAUCCGGAUUUACUGGGUGUAAAGGGAGCGUAGACGGAAUGGCAAGUCUGAUGUGAAAGGCCGGGGCUCAACCCCGGGACUGCAUUGGAAACUGUCAAUCUAGAGUACCGGAGGGGUAAGUGGAAUUCCUAGUGUAGCGGUGAAAUGCGUAGAUAUUAGGAGGAACACCAGUGGCGAAGGCGGCUUACUGGACGGUAACUGACGUUGAGGCUCGAAAGCGUGGGGAGCAAACAGGAUUAGAUACCCUGGUAGUCCACGCCGUAAACGA
rnacentral:rRNA from 1 species